AUUGAACGCUGGCGGAAUGCUUUACACAUGCAAGUCGAACGGCAGCACGGACUUCGGUCUGGUGGCGAGUGGCGAACGGGUGAGUAAUACAUCGGAACGUGCCCAGUCGUGGGGGAUAACGUAGCGAAAGCUACGCUAAUACCGCAUACGAUCUAAGGAUGAAAGCGGGGGAUCGCAAGACCUCGCGCGAUUGGAGCGGCCGAUGGCAGAUUAGGUAGUUGGGGGGGUAAAGGCCUACCAAGCCGACGAUCUGUAGCUGGUCUGAGAGGACGACCAGCCACACUGGGACUGAGACACGGCCCAGACUCCUACGGGAGGCAGCAGUGGGGAAUUUUGGACAAUGGGCGCAAGCCUGAUCCAGCCAUUCCGCGUGCAGGAUGAAGGCCCUCGGGUUGUAAACUGCUUUUGUACGGAACGAAAAGGCUCUGGUUAAUACCCGGGGCUCAUGACGGUACCGUAAGAAUAAGCACCGGCUGACUACGUGCCAGCCGCCGCAGUAA
rnacentral:rRNA from 1 species